rnacentral:rRNA from 1 species
CCUACGGGAGGCAGCAGUGAGGAAUAUUGGUCAAUGGACGAGAGUCUGAACCAGCCAAGUAGCGUGAAGGAUGACUGCCCUAUGGGGUGUAAAGUUCUGUCAGUUGGGACGAAAAAUGACGGUACCCACAGAGGAAGCACCGGCUAACACCGUGCCAGCAGCCGCGGUAAUACGGAGGGUGCAAGCGUUGUCCGGAAUCAUUGGGCGUAAAGGGUUCGUAGGCGGCAUGUAAAGUCAGGUGUUAAAGGCGCAGGCUCAACCGGUAAAUGGCACUUGAUACUUGCAAGGGUGAAUGCGGUAGAGGUAAAGGGAAUUCCUGGUGUAGCGGUGAAAUGCUUAGAUAUCAGGAGGAACAUCGGUGGCGUAGGCGCUUUACUGGGCCGUAAUUGACGCUGAGGAACGAAAGCCAGGGUAGCAAAUGGGAUUAGAUACCCCGGUAGUC